UACGGAGGGUGCAAGCGUUAUCCGGAUUCACUGGGUUUAAAGGGUGCGUAGGCGGGCAGGUAAGUCCGUGGUGAAAUCUCUGAGCUUAACUCAGAAACUGCCAUGGAUACUAUUUGUCUUGAAUGUUGUUGAGGUGAGCGGAAUAUGUCAUGUAGCGGUGAAAUGCUUAGAUAUGACAUAGAACACCAAUUGCGAAGGCAGCUCACUAAGCAAAUAUUGACGCUGAGGCACGAAAGCGUGGGGAUCAAACAGG
rnacentral:rRNA from 1 species